UACAGAGGGUGCAAGCGUUGCUCGGAAUUAUUGGGCGUAAAGCGUGAGUAGGUGGUCUCGUUUGUCUUGGGUGAAAGCCUGGAGCUCAACUCCAGAAGUGCCUAAGAAACGGCGAGACUAGAGUUUCGGAGAGGGUUGUGGAAUUCCCGGUGUAGCGGUGAAAUGCGUAGAGAUCGGGAAGAACACCAGAGGCGAAGGCGACAACCUGGAAGAACACUGACACUCAACCACGAAAGCGCGGGGAGCAAACAGG
rnacentral:rRNA from 1 species